GACGAACGCUGGCGGCGUGCUUAACACAUGCAAGUCGAACGGUGAAGCGCCUUCCUUUUUGGUGGGUGUGGAUGAGUGGCGAACGGGUGAGUAACACGUUAGUAACCUGCCCCCUUCUUCUGGAUAACCGCAUGAAAGUGUGGCUAAUACGGGAUAUUCUGGGUCUGUCGCAUGAUGGGUCUGGGAAAGAUAUUGUUUCGGUGGGGGAUGGUCUCGCGGCCUAUCAGCUUGUUGGUGGGGUGAUGGCCUACCAAGGCGGUGACGGGUAGCCGGCCUGAGAGGGUGGACGGUCACACUGGGAAUGAGACACGGAGCAGACUACUAGGGGAGGCAGCAGUGGGGAAUAUUGCACAAUGGGCGGAAGGAUGCUGCAGCGACGCCGCGUGAGGGAUGGAGGCCUUCGGGUUGUGAACCUCUUUCGCCAGUGAAGCAGGGCUGCCUCGUUUGUGGGUGGGUUGACGGUAGCUGGAUAAGAAGCGCCGGCUAACUACGUG
rnacentral:rRNA from 1 species